rnacentral:tRNA from 2 species
GGGCGCUUAGCUCAGUUGGUAGAGCAGCUGACUCUUAAUCAGCGGGUCACAGGUUCGAACCCUGUAGCGCCCACCA